GAUUAAAGGUUUAGAUUGAUCAGUUUGAAGAAAGGUUGAUGAAGUAAACCUGCUGACUGAUCAUAAUCCAUCUGUCUGUCUGACAUUUCUCCACUUCCUUCCAUUUGUCAAAGUGACGCUAGUAUCCCAGUGAAACGGGUGGCGCCAUCAUGUUUAAGUUUUGAUUCAGAGUCUCAUCAGUAUUAAUGAGACUCUGGACUGGAGCCAUGUUAUCAAUGACCCAUCAACAUUUCCUUUACACUCUCUGGUGACGUCUGCUCUACCUCCACUAGUUACAAAGAUUAUUGGAUUACACUACAUUGAUUUGUAUAUUUUCCUUGUAGUUUAUUGUUUUAGUUUGGCACCAGGAGAAGCUUCACAUGUUUUGACUUCAAUUUAAAGGAGUUGUCAUCGCGUCCACUUUUUGUACAGUCUAUGAUGUGAAAACACUGACACCUUCAGACUCAACCGUGACUUUUGCUCCAUCUACUGAUGAAAUGAUACAACUGCAUUUAGUAUCUUGAAGGGGGUUGUUUCAGUGCUGUGUUUUUCGUGGAAACCAAAGUCUUUUAAUUCCUUGAUGGCAUCUCAAAAAAACUAUAAACAGAAUUGAUCAGGAAUGAAAUCUGUCUUCAUCUCUUCUUUCUCAACCAACAGGAAGAGAAACAUCAGAGAGAAAUAAAGGAGCUGGAAACAGAGUGGGAGAAGAAGCUCAAAGAGGAGGAGAAGAAAAGAGAAAGAGCUGAGAAAGAAGUGGAGACACUGAAGAGGAAACUGGAGACUGAGUCAGAGAGAAUCAAACCUGAACGAACACAGAACAGCAGCAGCUCAGACAGUCAGGAGAUGUUAAGAGACAUCAAUGUGGUCAUUAAUGGCAAGACCAAAUAUAUAAGUCUACAAAACAAGUCUGAUCAGGACAAACCACUGGGAGGACGUCAGUUAAAAGUCCAGAUCAACAAUAGUGAACCCAUCACAUACACAUUUGAUCCAUCAGUGAAACUCAAGGCUAGAAACUCUGUUACUAUAUGCUAUCCAGACCAUAAGCCUCGUUUUACUGUACCUGGUGACCUGGUGUGGAAGGACCUGAAGUCCUGGAAGUCUGGAGACAGAGUCCAGGUCUCUCUGCAGUGAAAUAGUUCCCAGUUGAACUCCUUCAAUAAAGUUCAGUAAUCCAGCAAACAGCAACAUUAUAGA